rnacentral:rRNA from 1 species
AGCGAACGCUGGCGGCAGGCCUAACACAUGCAUGUCGAACGGAUCCUUCGGGAUUAGUGGCGGACGGGUGAGUAACACGUGGGAACGUGCCCUUUGGUUCGGAACAACUCAGGGAAACUUGAGCUAAUACCGGAUGUGCCCUUCGGGGGAAAGAUUUAUCGCCAUUGGAGCGGCCCGCGUCUGAUUAGCUAGUUGGUGAGGUAACGGCCCACCAAGGCGACGAUCAGUAGCUGGUCUGAGAGGAUGAUCAGCCACACUGGGACUGAGACACGGCCCAGACUCCUACGGGAGGCAGCAGUGGGGAAUCUUGCGCAAUGGGCGAAAGCCUGACGCAGCCAUGCCGCGUGAAUGAUGAAGGUCUUAGGAUUGUAAAAUUCUUUCAGCGGGGACGAUAAUGACGGUACCCGCAGAAGAAGCUCCGGCUAACUUCGUG